rnacentral:rRNA from 1 species
UAGGGAAUCUUCGGCAAUGGACGAAAGUCUGACCGAGCAACGCCGCGUGAGUGAAGAAGGUUUUCGGAUAGUAAAACUCUGUUGUUAGAGAAGAACAAGGACGUUAGUAACUGAACGUCCCCUGACGGUAUCUAACCAGAAAGCCACGGCUAACUACGUGCCAGCAGCCGCGGUAAUACGUAGGUGGCAAGCGUUGUCCGGAUUUAUUGGGCGUAAAGCGAGCGCAGGCGGUUUCUUAAGUCUGAUGUGAAAGCCCCCGGCUCAACCGGGGAGGGUCAUUGGAAACUGGGAGACUUGAGUGCAGAAGAGGAGAGUGGAAGUCCAUGUGUAGCGGUGAAAUGCGUAGAUAUAUGGAGGAACACCAGUGGCGAAGGCGGCUCUCUGGUCUGUAACUGACGCUGAGGCUCGAAAGCGUGGGGAGCAAACAGG